rnacentral:miRNA from 1 species
AUAGAGCACAAUUAAUGCAUUAGAUUGGUGCUUGAUCUGACUGCCAACACCACAGUAUUUGGCUUUGGAGUGCAUAUUUUUUUUCCAGCAGAUUUGUCUUUC